rfam:Felis catus breed Abyssinian Contig250717.1, whole genome shotgun sequence. [26-MAY-2016]
GCCCGGGUGGCUCAGUCGGUUGAGCAUCCGACUUCGGCUCUGGUCGUGAUCUCACAGUUCGUGGGUUCGAGCCCUACAUCGGGCU